GUGCCAGCAGCCGCGGUAAUACGGAGGGGGCCAGCGUUGUUCGGAAUCAUUGGGCGUAAAGGGCGCGUAGGCGGCCGCGUAAGUCCGUUGUGAAAUCCCUCGGCUCAACCGAGGAACUGCGACGGAUACUGCAUGGCUUGAGUCCCGGAGAGGGUGGUGGAAUUCCCAGUGUAGCGGUGAAAUGCGUAGAUAUUGGGAGGAACAUCGGUGGCGAAGGCGGCCACCUGGACGGGUACUGACGCUGAGGCGCGAAAGCCAGGGGAGCAAACAGGAUUAGAUACCCUCGUAGUCC
rnacentral:rRNA from 1 species